rnacentral:rRNA from 1 species
AUUGAACGCUGGCGGCAUGCCUAACCCAUGCAAGUCGAACGAGUUGCGGACGGGUGAGUAAUAUAUGGGAAACUGCCUGAUGGAGGGGGAUAACUACUGGAAACGGUAGCUAAUACCGCAUACCAUCAGAUGUGCCCAGAUGGGAUUAGCUUGUUGGUGGGGUAAAGGCUCACCAAGGCGACGAUCCAUAGCUGUUCUGUGAGGAUGACCAGCCACACUGGAACUGAGACACGGUCCAGACUCCUACGGGAGGCAGCAGUGGGGAAUAUUUCACAAUGGGCGAAAGCCUGAUGCAGCAAUGCCGCGAUUAUGAUGAAGGCCUUCGGGUUGUAAAGUACUUUCAGCAGAGAAGCGUUACCCGCAGAAGAAGCACCGGCUAACUCCGUGCCAGCAGCCGCGGUAAUUC